AAUAAGUUAUAAACCUUUGAAAUAUCUUCUUUUUUUUUUGGAGAGAGAGAUAGUGUAACGCACUGGACCUUUGCAAAUUGCAAGGUUCGAGUGUUUGGACGAUGCUCUGAGUUUCUCCAGACUUUUUGAUGGGUCGUUGACAAUGUUCCGACCUAUGGUUCGAAUUCCGAGAAUUGUAGUAUUUUAUGUAGUGCUAAGCUCACCAAAGUGAUAGACUUAGGCUACCCUCAGAUUGCAUUCUGCACGAGG
rnacentral:lncRNA from 1 species